rnacentral:rRNA from 1 species
UACAGAGGUGGCAAGCGUUGUUCGGAAUUACUGGGCGUAAGGCGUGCGCAGGCGGCUUUGCAAGACAGAUGUGAAAUCCCCGGGCUUAACCUGGGAACCGCAUUUGUGACUGCAUGGCUGGAGUGCGGCAGAGGGGGAUGGAACUCCGCGUGUAGCAGUGAAAUGCGUAGAUAUGCGGAGGAACACCGAUGGCGAAGGCAAUCCCCUGGGCCUGCACUGACGCUCAUGCACGAAAGCGUGGGGAGCAAACAGG